rnacentral:rRNA from 1 species
AUGCCGAAACAUAUGCCAAAAGAAGGUGUCGCCGGCGACGGCUUCAAGACCGCCGGGCAGAGCUCGGCUGAGGAGGCGCGUGCGGCGGACGCGCUUGCGCUGCGAGGCAGGCUAGGAGGGGAGUUGGGUGCGCCACGCUCCGUGCGAGAUGUGGGUAUGUUCAGCACCUCCUUCCCUCUCCUCACGUGGACCAACUACCCCAGUUGGUCGGUCAUGAUGAAAGUCAUCAUGGAGGCACGGUAUAUGUGGAAAGCCGUGGAUACCGGCGAUGUCGAGUACGAGGAGGACCGGCUGGCGAUGGAGGCGAUCUUGCGCUCCGUCCCAGAGGAGAUGGUGCUCACCCUUGGCGCCAAGGAGAUGGCCAAGGAAGCAUGGGACACCAUCAAGACUCUGCGCAUCGGCGCGGAGCGCGUACAGGAGUCGAAGGCCCAGACCUUGCGCCUCCAGUAUGAGGAGAUCCGGUUCAAGGCCGGUGAACAAGUCGACGACUUCGCCUUGCGGCUGCAAGGUCUCGUCAAUGAGCUCGCAACGCUCAGAGAUCACAUGACAACAAGAUGGUGA